rnacentral:rRNA from 1 species
AUUGAACGCUGGCGGCAUGCUUUACACAUGCAAGUCGAACGGCAGCGGGGGCUUCGGCCUGCCGGCGAGUGGCGAACGGGUGAGUAAUGCAUCGGAACGUGCCCAAGUCGUGGGGGAUAACGUAUCGAAAGGUACGCUAAUACCGCAUACGUCCUGAGGGAGAAAGCGGGGGAUCUUCGGACCUCGCGCGAUUGGAGCGGCCGAUGUCGGAUUAGCUAGUAGGUGAGGUAAAGGCUCACCUAGGCGACGAUCCGUAGCGGGUCUGAGAGGAUGAUCCGCCACACUGGGACUGAGACACGGCCCAGACUCCUACGGGAGGCAGCAGUGGGGAAUUUUGGACAAUGGGCGCAAGCCUGAUCCAGCCAUGCCGCGUGAGUGAAGAAGG